UGAUGAAAAAGACUUUUUCAUAAGAUACAGGUUGUCAAAAAAGAGUGUUAUAUUUAUAUUGCAAAAGAUUGAACAUUUAUUAGAAUUCCACAAUGACAAAAAUAAAUCUGUGGCUCCGAUUAAUCAACUCUUGUGUGCUCUGAGAUUUUAUGCGACUGGCAAUCAAUUAUUAUCUAUAGCAGAUCUAAAUGGCAUCAGUAUUUCUACUUGCAGUCGAAUUAUAAAGAGAGUGUCCAAUGCCAUUGUAGGUCUGCGAAGCGAAUUUAUACAAUUCCCAGACACAGAAGAAGAACAACAAAUAGUGAAAGAAGAAUUUUACAGAAUAGCUCGAUAUCCGAAUGUUUUAGGAUGUAUAGACUGUACACAUAUAAAAAUUUAAUCGCCAGGAGGAGAUGAUGCCGAACUAUUCCGAAAUAGAAAAGGCUAUAUGUCCAUUAAUAUGCAAACAAUAAGCACUGCAAAUUUAUUGAUGACUGGUGUGGUGGCACGCUGGCCUGGAUCAAC